rnacentral:rRNA from 1 species
UACGGGGGGGGCAAGCGUUGUUCGGAAUUACUGGGCGUAAAGGGCUCGUAGGCGGCCAACUAAGUCAGACGUGAAAUCCCUCGGCUUGACCGGGGAACUGCGUCUGAUACUGGAUGGCUGGAGUUUGGGAGAGGGAUGCGGAAUUCCAGGUGUAGCGGUGAAAUGCGUAGAUAUCUGGAGGAACACCGGUGGCGAAGGCGGCAUCCUGGACCAACACUGACGCUGAGGAGCGAAAGCCAGGGGAGCAAACGGG